rnacentral:rRNA from 1 species
GACGAACGCUGGCGGCGUGCCUAAUACAUGCAAGUAGAACGCACAGUUUAUACCGUAGCUUGCUACACCAUAGACUGUGAGUUGCGAACGGGUGAGUAACGCGUAGGUAACCUGCCUGGUAGCGGGGGAUAACUAUUGGAAACGAUAGCUAAUACCGCAUAAUAUUGAUUAUUGCAUGAUAAUUGAUUGAAAGAUGCUAUUGCAUCACUACCAGGUGGACCUGCGUUGUAUUAGCUAGUAGGUGAGGUAACGGCUCACCUAGGCGACGAUACAUAGCCGAACUGAGAGGGGGAUCGGCCACACUGGGACUGAGACACGGCCCAGACCCCUACGGGAGGCAGCAGUAGGGAAUCUUCGGCAAUGGACGAAAGGCUGACCGAGCAACGCCGGGUGAGUGAAGAAGGUUUUCGGAUCGUAAAGAUCUGUUGUAAGAGAAGAACGGGUGUGAGAGUGGAAAGUUCACACUGUGACGGUAUCUUACCAGAAAGGGACGGCUAACUACGUG